rnacentral:ribozyme from 12 species
GAGGCUGCUGAAGCAGCAGCAGCACGGGCGGCAGAAGAAGAGGAAUUAGAGGCAUCUGCUGGGGCUGAGGCUGAUGGAGAGGAUGCUGCCACGAACAGGGCCUCUGGUACGGCUGCUCCAGGCAGGGGCAAGGGCAGAGGUGCUGCAGCAGGUGCUCGUGCCAUGGGGAGGGGCGCUGUGCACCCAGGGAGCUCAGCUGCCAAUGCGGGGUUGAAGCGAGGGGGGGUU